rnacentral:tRNA from 1 species
GCUCGGUAUCCGGCUGGAUGAGGGCGCGGAUUUGAAAUCCGUUGGGCGUAACUGCCUUGUGGGUUCGAGUCCUACACCGAGCG